UACGAAGGGUGCAAGCGUUAAUCGGAAUUACUGGGCGUAAAGGGUGCGUAGGCGGUUGUUUAAGUCUGUCGUGAAAUCCCCGGGCUCAACCUGGGAAUGGCGAUGGAUACUGGACAGCUAGAGUGUGUCAGAGGAUGGUGGAAUUCCCGGUGUAGCGGUGAAAUGCGUAGAGAUCGGGAGGAACAUCAGUGGCGAAGGCGGCCAUCUGGGACAACACUGACGCUGAAGCACGAAAGCGUGGGGAGCAAACAGGG
rnacentral:rRNA from 1 species